rnacentral:rRNA from 1 species
AAUCAACGCUGGCGGCGUGCCUCAGACAUGCAAGUCGAACGAUUAAAGCUCUCUUCGGAGAGUGUAUAGAGUGGCGCACGGGUGAGUAACACGUAAGUAAUCUACCUUUGAGUGGGGAAUAACGUCCGGAAACGGACGCUAAUACCGCAUAAUGCAGCGGCAUCGCAAGAUGACAGUUGUUAAAGAUUUAUCGCUUGAAGAGGAGCUUGCGGCAGAUUAGCUUGUUGGUAAGGUAAUGGCUUACCAAGGCUACGAUCUGUAACCGGUCUAAGAGGACGGUCGGUCACACUGACACUGAAUAACGGGUCAGACUCCUACGGGAGGCAGCAGUCGGGAAUUUUGGGCAAUGGGCGAAAGCCUGACCCAGCAACGCCGCGUGAAGGAUGAAGUAUUUCGGUAUGUAAACUUCGAAAGAAUGGGAAGAAUAAAUGACGGUACCAUUUAUAAGGUCCGGCUAACUAUGUGCCAGCCGCCGCGGUAAAAC